rnacentral:rRNA from 1 species
UACGUAGGGGGCAAGCGUUGUCCGGAUUUAUUGGGCGUAAAGAGCGUGUAGGCGGUCAGGUAGGUCCGUUGUGAAAACUCGAGGCUCAACCUCGAGACGCCGAUGGAAACCAUCUGACUAGAGUCCGGAAGAGGAGAGUGGAAUUCCUGGUGUAGCGGUGAAAUGCGCAGAUAUCAGGAAGAACACCAAUGGCGAAGGCAGCUCUCUGGGACGGUACUGACGCUGAGACGCGAAAGCGUGGGGAGCGAACAGG